GACUGUUCUUAGCUCAGUGGGAGAGCAUCUGUUUUGCAUUCGGAAGGUCCCAGGUUCAAUCCCUGGAAGCAUCU